rnacentral:rRNA from 1 species
UACGUAGGGUGCAAGCGUUGUCCGGAAUUAUUGGGCGUAAAGAGCUCGUAGGCGGUCUGUCGCGUCGGCUGUGAAAACCCGGGGCUCAACCCCGGGCCUGCAGUCGAUACGGGCAGACUAGAGUGCGGUAGGGGAGACUGGAAUUCCUGGUGUAGCGGUGAAAUGCGCAGAUAUCAGGAGGAACACCCGUGGCUAAGGCGGCUCUCUAGUACGGUACUGACGCUGAGACGCGAAAGCGUGGGGAGCGAACAGG